UUACUUACCUGGCAGGGGCAAUACCAUAUUCAAGGAUUUGGUUUGCCCAAAGCAUGGCUCAGCCAUUGCACUCAGCUGUGCUGACCUUUGCGAAUUCCCCAAAUGCAGGAAUCUCCACUGCAUAAUUUCUGAUAGUGGGGGACUCUGUUCUCACUCUCCCCUU